ACGGAGGGUCCAAGCGUUAUCCGGAAUCAUUGGGUUUAAAGGGUUCGCAGGCGGUUUCUUAAGUCAGUGGUGAAAUCCUACAGCUCAACUGUAGAACUGCCAUUGAUACUGAGAAACUUGAAUAUAGUUGAAGUAGGCGGAAUGUGUAGUGUAGCGGUGAAAUGCUUAGAUAUUACACAGAACACCGAUAGCGAAGGCAGCUUACUAAACUGUUAUUGACGCUCAUGAACGAAAGCGUGGGGAGCGAACAGG
rnacentral:rRNA from 1 species